GAUGAACGCUCGCGAUAGGCUUAACACAUGCAAGUCGAGGGGCAGCAUGGUCUUAGCUUGCUAAGACUGAUGGCGACCGGCGCACGGGUGCGUAACGCGUAUGCAACUUGCCUCACAGAGGGGGAUAACCCGUCGAAAGACGGACUGAUACCGCGUACACUCUAUUUUGGGCAUCCAAGGUAGAGGAAAUGAAAUUCGCUGUGAGAUAGGCAUGCGUCCCAUUAGCUAGUUGGUGAGGUAACGGCUCACCAAGGCGACGAUGGGUAGGGGAACUGAGAGGUGGAACCCCCACACUGGUACUGAGACACGGACCAGACUCCUACGGGAGGCAGCAGUGAGGAAUAUUGGUCAAUGGGCGAGGGCCUGAACCAGCCAAGUCGCGUGAAGGAUGACUGUCUUAUGGAUUGUAAACUUCUUUUGUAGGGGAAUAAAGAGGGGCACGUGUGCCCCAGUGAAUGUACCCUACGAAUAAGCAUCGGCUAACUCCGUG
rnacentral:rRNA from 1 species